rnacentral:rRNA from 1 species
GACGAACGCUGGCGGCGCGCUUAACACAUGCAAGUCGAACGGAAAGGCCUGCUUUCCCUUGUGGAUUGCGGGUACUCGAGUGGCGAACGGGUGAGUAACACGUGAGUGAUCUGCCCCCAACUUGGGUAUAAGCCUGGGAAACUGGGCCUAAUUCCCGAUAGGACUGCAGGGUGGUGCCUGUGGUGGAAAACGAUUUUCUAGUGGUUGGGGAUGAGCUGGCGGCCUAUCUGCUUGUUGGUGGGGUAAUGGCCUACCAAGGCGGCGACGGGUAGCCGGCCUGGGAGGGUGGACGGCCACAUUGGGACUGAGGUACGGCCCAGACGCCUACGGGAGGCAGCAGUGGGGAAUAUUGCACAAUGGGCGGAAGCCUGAUGCAGCGACGCCGCGUGGGGGAUGACGGCCUUCGGGUUGUAAACUCCUUUCGACCGCGAGGAAGCCACCUGGUUGGAAGGGUGGUGACGGUAGUGGUAGAAGAAGCACCGGCUAACUACGUG